UUUGUUUGUUUGUUUGCUUGCUUGCUUGCUUGCUUGUUUGUUUGUUUGUUUGUUUGUUUGUUUGUUUGUUUGUUUGUUUGCUUGCUUGCUUGUUUGUUUGUUUGUUUGUUUGUUUGUUUGUUUGUUUGUUUGUUUGUUUGUUUGUUUGUUUGUUUGUUUGUUUGUUCGUUUGUUUGUUUGUUUGUUUGUUUGUUUGUUUGUUUGUUUGUUUGUUUGUUUGUUUGUUUU
rnacentral:lncRNA from 1 species